ACGGCGCCACUCGAUUUAUUCGAAUUUCAAAAACGUUCUGUUCUGCAACUGUAGUUCGAAAAGUCGUUUGAGUCAAAGACUUGACAAAAUGAAUAUUUGUGUAAUUUGGGAACCAGCGAAUUUAAGGCCAUUUAAAGUUCCGAUUGAGAAAGAAAAUCACGUUGACGGUUACAUUGGAAAGAAAGAAUAAAAAGAUUUCGGAAAUAACAUCUAUCGUAUUGAGCGAAGCUCGUGUAACUGACGUAAGAAGUACAGCACUUCAAGUUCUCGAUGUCUUUUCGUUGACUCUAGUUUCUCAUAAGUGUGAAGAGAAUGUUCGAAUUAAAGUACACAUGAAUCAUCAACCAGGUUCAUUUGAAGCAUUAUGCUUGGAAUUACUGGGAAUUCUUAGAAGAGAUUUUACACAACAGUCAGAUAUUAGAUCAUUAUUGUAUGAGGACAAAUGAAUUGCCUUAAAGUUGUUGUUAUUUUUGUUAGGGCCUUCGUGCAGUCUUGUGCAGAAAUCUGCAAUUAUCUGACGCUAUCUUUGAACUUCUAAUACAAACGUCUUACAACUGUAACACUGUAUUCAGUAAUAACUGUCCACUAAAAACCUUUAUCAGUGUUGUGUUCGUUACAGAUAUUUACUAAUGGUUUUGAUUUUUACCGAGGUCUUCUUCAGGCGCUGAUCAAGCAUUGUCUGCCUUGACUGUUAGAACGAUGUCGUCCGAGAUGUAAAUAUUGCACGUAUCAUGUUUCACUCCUUCACUUGUUCCCGUUUGAAUUCUUUGAAUAGACAGAGAUGAUCACACAG